GCCAGGUGCAGUGGUGCAUGCUUGUAAUCCCAGCUGCUCAGGAGGCUGAGGCAGGAGGAUCACAAGUUCAAAGACAGCCUCAGCAAAAGUGAGGCGCUAAGCAACUCAGUGAGACCCUGUCUCUA
rnacentral:sRNA from 1 species